CACCAUUUAAAGAUAAUAUAAUAGGCUACGUGCAGAAGCGUAGUGACGAACUUCCGUUGGCGCCAGAAGUCGGCAUAUCGGUUUCCGGUUUACUUGUGCAACGCUUAAAAUGUCUGUUUUUACUUGAUGUCUCCAGGAUUUGCCUAAAAUAAGCAUCACGCUGCGUCCGAAAUCGCAUACUUCCCUCCUAUAUAGUAUGCGAAUAACAGUAUGCGAGGCGAGUAGUAUGUCCGAAUUCAUAGUAUUCGAAAAACAGUAGGCGAGAAGUACCCGGAUGACCUACUGCUUCCGCCCGAAUUCUGUAGUAGGCAUAAGAUGCACGCUGUGCUAUCCCGUGAGAGGCCACAGUAGAGGAUUCUUCAUAUUCGAAAAUGGCGGAAAGCGGCGAUGCGGCUCUUUUCAAGUCCUCAAGUCCUUAAGUACCUCAGGGAAAAACGGUGUUUAUUGUGGUUAAAUUGCACUUGUUUAACAUAAUGAAGAGUACUUUGAUUCCUGUGGACCAAAUCAUUGUUAAUAGCCACAGCACCACUUUCAGUGAUACUGUUGAGUAGGUGUCUUACAACUACCUUAACAUCUUGUACCCAGUAGGCCAAAGAGCAACGCUGGAGUUCUUGCAGUGAUGUUCUUAGACCAGAUUAUCGUUCCAGUAUUUUCCAAAAGUUUCUCUUUCACACUGAGAUGUCGGAAGACUCUUAAAUCAUCUUCCUGCGCAUGCUGUUAAACAUCCCUUUUCAAGAUAAACCCCAAGGGAUCAAAAGCUAAGAAGAGCACUUCAUGAAAGCAGAUGACGGUCGGUCCACAGCAUGUGUGUCAAACUCCGCUCCUGGGGGACCAUUGUCCUGCAAAGUGCUCUAACCUGCUCCAGAACACCUGCCUGGAAGUUUCUAGCAAUCCUGAAGACAUUGAUUAGCUGGUUCAGAGUUUUGGAAUCACUAAAGGGUCCAGUUUGACCUGUUCCAGAAGCCAGAAGUCCAGCUGAGAAAGCAACCUUUUUGCCUGGAAAUAAGCGAAUCGACUGAAGUAAAAUGUGUCAUUUAAAACAUUUAAAUGUCUA